GAUGAAGAACGCAGCGAAAUGCGAUAAGUAGUGUGAAUUGCAGAAUUCCGUGAAUCAUCGAAUCUUUGAACGCACAUUGCGCCCGUCAGUAUUCUGGCGGGCAUGCCUGUUCGAGCGUCAUUACGCCCCUCAAGUCCCCUGUGGACUUGGUGUUGGGGAUCGGCGAGGCUGGUUUUCCAGCACAGCCGUCCCUUAAAUUAAUUGGCGGUCUCGCCGUGGCCCUCCUCUGCGCAGUAGUAAAACACUCGCAACAGGAGCCCGGCGCGGUCCACUGCCGUAAAACCCCCCAACUUUUUAUAGUUGACCUCGAAUCAGGUAGGACUACCCGCUGAACUUAAGCAUAUCAAUAAGCGGAGGA
rnacentral:misc_RNA from 1 species